UGAGGUCUUAAUGAUUCUUACAUUUCAAA
rnacentral:piRNA from 1 species